rnacentral:rRNA from 1 species
AAUGAACGCUGGCGGCGUGCUUCAGACAUGCAAGUCGAACGCGAAAGUGGACUUCGGUCCGCGAGUAGAGUGGCGAACGGGUGAGUAACACGUGGGUGACCUACCCAGGAGCGGGGGACAACUUGGGGAAACUCGAGCUAAUACCGCAUACGUUCCGUGAGUUACGACUCACGGAGGAAAGAUGGCCUCUGAUUCAAGCUGUCACUCCUGGAUGGGCCCGCGUCCGAUUAGCUUGUUGGUGGGGUAACGGCCUACCAAGGCGACGAUCGGUAGCCGGCCUGAGAGGGUGAUCGGCCACACUGGAACUGAGACACGGUCCAGACUCCUACGGGAGGCAGCAGUCGGGAAUAUUGCGCAAUGGGCGAAAGCCUGACGCAGCAACGCCGCGUGAAGGAUGAAGGCCUUCGGGUCGUAAACUUCUGUUCAGGAGGGAAGAAGGUUUAUCGGUUAAUAACCGGUAAGCUUGACGGUACCUCCAGAGGAAGCCCUGGCUAACUCCGUGCCAGCAGCCGC